AGUCAACAAAAUUCAAAAUGGCGGGCGAGCGGACAAAUCUCCUGCUCCAUGGCCUGGGAACGUUGAUCAUCGCGACGGCUACGAUUACCUUAAUGGUUGCUGUGUUCACGGACAGUUGGAUACAGUCCCCUGUGGAGGGGUCCGGAUUCCAGAAGGCCGGUUUAUGGAAGAUCUGUCUGGUUAACUACGUCAUACAUAGAAAUGUACAGACCCCUAAAGGCUUAGUUGGGUGUUACAGUUUUGCCGACCCAAUUUUCUAUGAUGUUCAGGAUUGGAUACACCCCAUAUGGCUGAAGGCAGUCAAGGGCAUGUUGGUGAUGUCUCUUUGUUUUAGUAUGGCUGAAGGCAGUCAAGGGCAUGUUGGUGAUGUCUCUUUGUUUUAGUAUGGCUGAAGGCAGUCAAGGGCAUGUUGGUGAUGUCUCUUUGUUUUAGUAUGGCUGAAGGCAGUCAAGGGCAUGUUGGUGAUGUCUCUUUGUUUUAGUAUGGCUGAAGGCAGUCAAGGGCAUGUUGGUGAUGUCUCUUUGUUUUAGUAUGGCUGAAGGCAGUCAAGGGCAUGUUGGUGAUGUCUCUUUGUUUUAGUAUGGCUGAAGGCAGUCAAGGGCAUGUUGGUGAUGUCUCUUUGUUUUAGUAUGGCUGAAGGCAGUCAAGGGCAUGUUGGUGAUGUCUCUUUGUUUUAGUAUGGCUGAAGGCAGUCAAGGGCAUGUUGGUGAUGUCUCUUUGUUUUAGUAUGGCUGAAGGCAGUCAAGGGCAUGUUGGUGAUGUCUCUUUGUUUUAGUAUGGCUGAAGGCAGUCAAGGGCAUGUUGGUGAUGUCUCUGUUCCUCAACGUCUUCAACCUCUUCUCCUCGGCCUUCUACCUGGUUCAGGGGAGGGCACAACUCCUCAUCCCCAUCACUGUCCUAGGCAGCGUAUCAACGGUCAUGAUAUCGUGUGGGACGUCCUUGUACAGGUACAGCUCGAACGACCCCUACUGGCUUCCGCUUCCUGAUUCCAACCAGUUGGAUUGGUCCUACUACACAAGCGUAGCUACCAUAUUCAUCAUGAUGAUUGGUUCAAGCAUGCACGGGAUACAGGCCCUGCUUCUGUGCUGCAGCAGGGAAAGGUCAAUGCGGAAACACUAACCGGGACAAGAGGAAGCAGUGUUGUCCAGAUAUUGUCUGGACAUUUGGGGAGACAAUUAACACGCAUAAUUUCCCUAUAUUUCUUACUUCAUGACAGGCAUGAUCGUUUUUCUACCGAAUUAUUUUGUGAUACUUGAAUAGUAUUUUUAAGGGAAAAUGACCCAGAAAACAUCAGAGUGAAGAAACAUGCAACAGAACACUGCAGAUUCAGAGCAUUGAAGACCGUCAUUGUAGAUGCAGAACAGUGAAGACCGUCAUUGUAGAUGUAGAACAGCAGUGUUUGAAAUAAAAAAUGCCAGUCUGCAAUCAGGACCGACCGACUUUAGAAGAUGCAGACCACGACUAAACUCUUCAGGCCCACAUUAAAAAGCUGCAACUUUUUGUGAUAAAUAAAUAGAGAGAUAGAUUUACUGCAGGCCAUAAGGACCCACAUAAACUUGACACAAUGGGCCCGACACGAGAUCUACAAAUCACGGGCCUACGCACAGGCGCUCAUCUCGAACACUGCAGAAGAUGCAGGACAUAACAGUGAAGGUCAUCACUAUAGGUUCAGAACACUAAAGAUCGUCACUGUAGAUGCAGGGCAGUGAAGGUCGUCACUGUAGAUGAAGGGCAGUGAAGGUCGUCACUGUAGAUGUUCAGCGGGCAUUUCCGGGUUGUGUUUAUUGUAUGUUUUACCGAAAUUGUAUGGAUUAUUUCUGAUGCAGUAUGAUGCGUUUGAACCAGACAUCACUGUGUCUGUUCGCUGCAGACAGACAGACUGCCGUAAAAACCCUUGAAUCUGAUGCAUCAACACAAUUUGUGUCAUGUCAGGGUUCCACCGGUGAGGAUAUAUCUUCUGUAUGGCGAUGGUCCUAUUGUGAUGAUAUAUAACACGGUUAUAUGAUGGACAAACAUGCAGUAUUGAUGUGUAGCAAGGUUAAAGGGUACACCACACAAUUAGACAGGUGCCAAUUGAUACCAAUUCCUCUGUAAAUCCAAGGAAUUCGUCAGGGAUCGCUAGUUGCAUUCAUACCAAUACCCAUGUUAAUCCAAGGAAUUCGUCAGGGAUCGCUAGUUGCAUUCAUACCAAUACCCUUGUUAAUCCAAGGAAUUCGUCAGGGAUUGCUGAAUUCAUACCAAUACCCUUGUUAAUCUAAAUAAUAUGUAGGGGGUCCAUGGCUGAAUU